AACGCACAUUGCGCCCGUUAGUAUUCUGACGGGCAUGCCUGUCCGAGCGUCAUUUAAACCCUUAAGCCCAGCUUAGCGUUGGCGGAUCACGGUGCCCCAGGCCCCGCGACCGCCCAAAUCCAUUGGCGGUCCCGCCGCGGCUCCCUUGCGUAGUAACUCACCUCGCACCGGGCCCGGGCGGCGACCCGCCGUAAAACCCCCACUAUAACAAGGUUGACCUCGGAUCAGGUAGGAAUACCCGCUGAACUUAA
rnacentral:misc_RNA from 1 species